AAGACUUUAAGUUAAAAUAAACUCACAACAAUCAAAAUUGUUAAUAUUAUUAAAUUUGAAUAAGUCUUA
rnacentral:tRNA from 1 species